CUAUCAAAUUCACCAUACACUAAACAAUUGACAGUUUCUGUAAGAGCAGUGUUAAAACCAACUUCUAUUCGUAAACUUCCGUUCUUUAUCAAAUUCCAUGAAAGAGCAUUAUGCGAUGAUAAGUCAGGUGUCAAAUCAAAAACAGCUAUUGAAUAUCCAUCAGCAUAAUUAUCACGUGAAAUCCCAUUUCCAGUGUUUAGAAAAUGUAUACCAGUACCAGAAAAUAAUGUGUGGUACAUUGAAACAAAUUUCUUAUUUGGACCGAUAAAUGUAGGUUGUAAGGGUUUACUAGGAAUUUGGUUACCAUCCACGUACAAGGAUAGAUAGUUUAAACCAAAGUUUUCGAAAUUAAAUGGAUUUAAGGAAUAAUCACCGUUAAAUGCUUUAUUUGUCACAAAGCACAAUGCACAUCUUUUUGGAAGUUGGCCCAAAUAAACAUUAUCCAAUGAUUUUCCUUGUACUCCUUGCGGUAUAGUCAAAACCUUUAAUUCUGUUCGCGUAAUUGGAUAUUUUGCAGUUGAAAGCUCUAAAGCCUUUGCAUGCGCAAGUAAUACGCUUGGAUUUAUCCGAUUUCUUCUAAUCAUUAGAGUUGCAUCAGUAAUUUGAAUUUUUCCAUUAAGAUUAUUUGAUGACAUCAAUGCAAAACUAUCACGAGAACGUACAAAUUUUAAUCUCAUUUCUACACCGUUGAUUAAAAAUUUUUCUUGAUUAAAUAUAUCACAAUUUAAGUGACCAAUAAGAUCGACUUCUUUACUCGUCGACGUUAGUUUGAGUCUAUUGGCGAAUCCACUGUUCUCAUUGGUUACUACAUUCAUUUUGCCUGCCGUAUCGGCGUACCAUAAUCCACAAGUUAAAUGGGAAUUCUUCGCCCCUGAGUCAUAAUUUAAAAGUGUCUCCAAAUAACAUUUAUAAGCGUAUGUAUUAUUUGGUGGUGAAAUCAGUUUUUGAUUUAGGUAUACAUCAACUUGACUAAACAUUGAGUGGAGAAUAUUAUUAACUGGACCAAUUGUAUCUUCAGCGGUAUAAUUACUACCGUCAUCUUUGCAUAUUUUAAUACAAAGUGAAAGUAAAGUUUGCGAUAAAUCUAUAUAGUCUUCACCACCUGGUAUUACAAAUUCUAAAGGACUAUUUUCAGAUAUACUAGAUACAGUUUUGUAAUGAACCCAUUGACCGCUUUCGAUGCUUGUUUGAGUUGGCGGUAAAGCAAAAAGAUCCAAUUCACUUUUCGCGCACUCACAACUAUGAGGAUGUAAAAACGACAUUCUAGCUAAAGAUAUCUUGAUGUUUAAUAACUGAACUCGUUUUACACUUCUUUGCAGAACGACGUGAAGAACUAUUCUGACUUUUAUUUUGUACUAGCCUUCUUUUUAUAGAUCCAGAUCCUACCAAGUUGUCUAAUUUAUCUUGAGCUUUUCGUUUCAAAUUUUCAACUGACUCAUUUACACGUGUCUUGAAUGCAUCCUUUACAGGCACCUCAUUAACAAUGUCGCCAAGAAAAUUUGAACCAGUGCGUAGUGUUUCCUUACCAAUUGUUUUAACACCACUCUUUAUUAACGGCAUUACCGUACGAAAAAGUCCCCGUAAAAAACUACCAAUACCAUAACCCUUUUGGUAACUAAUUCCUUUGUAAAUAGCACCUACACCUGAACCAGCUUGAUUGAUGUAGUAAUCGUGAUAAUGACAUGAAGGCAUUACGAAAUUUUUUUAAAAUGAAGUUUAACGCACACUGUUCCAAACUGAAAUGGCACUUUCUCACCAGUUGCACUUCUUAUAUCAAUUUCAAUGUUUUCAAAUUCCCUUUUCAACAGAGGCACGUAAUGCGGAUGCGAAAAUAAUUGCGUAUGAUGUGUACCGUAAAUGUAGUGUUUAUUAUCGAUAACAACGAUUCGAAUUACUUUUGCCAUUAUAUCGCCCACCAAUUGUGGUUCAAUUAUAUCACUGUAUACGAAAAGUUGUGAAGGCAAACCCAACAUAAUGUUUGCUGGAUGUGUUGAAGUUUUACUCAGUACAUUUGUAUCCGGUUGAAAACCUAAUUGUAGACUUAAUGUCGGUGAAAAUGAUAGACUUGUCAGAUAUUUGCUACUGCUUGUUACAGUUACUCUUUUUGAACCAUCAUUUAAUCUGAACUCAACAUUAUCUUUUACUAAAACUCUUACCGAGUUUAGAGCAUCCACAAUAGAUUCGAUCGUUUCGUAGUUACCAGCUUCAAGCUUAGUCUUAUAUUUCGUCAUAAUUACAUCGUGUUCAAAUGUGAUCGUUUUCAUUUUAAGAUCGCGCAUGAAUUCUUUCGAAGACUUGUAUUUCCUUCUUCGAACCUGAUCAUCGAUCCAUGUCGCAAAACGGGGAUCUUUAAACAAUAUGUCAAUGGCUUUUUCACCUUUUUGCAUAAUCGCCGAUAAACUAAAUUCAAAAGAGCAGUAAAUAAUAUUUUCACCACUGUUGAUGGUUAAGAAGGAACACGGAUACUGUAUUUCCGAAAGUCCCACACACCAUUCACCAUCCAAAUGAACAGUUUUUGGAAGUUGUGUGCAAAAGUGCGUUGUUGUAUUUUCGGGAAAGUAAUUGGUUGAGCUGUUUGAUACCAAAGUUAAAUAAAAUUCGUUAUUCAUAUCGAUGUAAGGGAACUGCACGGAAUCCACGAGUUAAACUUUGAAGGAUAAUUUUUCCACUGCACAAAAAUUUCACAUUUACCUCUUUUAUAUCGCUUCUUCAAUACUUUUUCAAUGUGAAAUGUACUCUGGGGGUCGUACGUUACGCGCUGUAAUUCGGGGUGAUAGAAGACGCCCUCUAUUGGUUCAUCCAUUAAAUCGGAAAUUUUGUACACAACGGGUUGUCUCAUUAUAACAUCAGUUAUUUUGAAUAUUUCACCGCUCCAAUUACUCAUGUAGCCUUUUUCAAAUACGUGCUUGUACUUGGUGAUUCUGACGUAAUCUCCAACUUUGUACACAUUUUCGAGUUUGAUCGUUUUAAUAUUCUUCUUUCUCGUACUCAUAAUGUUAUCGUAUACUUGCGCAACGUUGUCAGGAUUUACCUCGUUAGGAGCCAUUUUAAUAGUACGAUGAUAAGAAUUAUUGUAAGAGUGCAUGAAUUCGGGUAAUACAUCAAUGUAUUGCAUAUUAUUUGCAAACGUAAAAUAUUUAUGCAUUUUUGUUUUUAAAGUUUUAUUGAACCUUUCUACCACAGCAGCUUUUACAUCAGGAUUAUUUGUUACAUAAUAAUUUAUAUCAUAUUGUUUAAACAAUUUUUGGACAUUUUUCGCUAGAAAUUCUUUUCCCUUGUCAGUCUGAAGAUUAACCGGAACACGCUCAUCAAAUAUUUCUUUAAAAGCUGCAGCCACUUCAUUUCCCGUCUUUGUGUAUAAAGGUUUAACCCAUGCAAACUUGGAAAAUACAUCGAUGACAGUUAAUAGGUAAUUUACACCUCGAUUAUGUUUUGCGAUGUUUCUCAUAUCUAUUAAAUCAGCUUGAAAUAAAUCGUCUAUGUUGGUUACAUGAUAACUAUUUCUAGGAAAUCGACGACGAACUUGCUUAUGUAAUGUAUAAGAUUCCACACCUUCUAGCCAUUUAUUAAUUUUUUUCUUAUGUAUAUUUGUAAACUUAGCUAAGUUGUUAGGACUCGAAAAACCAAGAGGGUCACGAGGUAUAAAAUAUCUUUCCUUUAUUUCAUCCAUUUUUGUCUACUUGCUUUCAUACGGCGACCAAGGAACUCUCAAGCGUUUUUGUUUUCUUGAUGACGAUCGCAUUGAUUUCUUCGUUAUUUGACUAUCCUCUUCUUCUUCUUCUUCUUCUGUGUCAAACUUUGACGACGAUAUUGGUUUUACUUUCACUUCGUUUUUUACUUCUUGCUUUUCAGCACCUUGUUCAUUUAUAUAUUUCAAACGUUUUGGAUUAAUUAUAAGAGUACGUGGAACGUUUAUUUUAUACAAAAUUUCCGCAAAAUUUUUCCAUCCGACAGGCUCGGCAUUUAACUUAUUACUACUCUUCAUAACAUCAGUGAUUAGAUCAAAUAUAUUGGAACCAGGAAUUGUGUUUCCAUCGUAGAUAACGUUUCCGGUUUCAUUCCAUGCAACUCCAUUGUGUGUUAAAUUGUUUAACAAAGCAUUCGCUUUAACUUGUAAGGGUCUUGGUAGGGAACUCAAAAUGUUUCGAGUAAUUCGUUCAGAUUGUUCUAAUUGAUUUUCUUUAGAAUAAAUCACAGGUAUGGUAACAGGUUCACGAGAACGACUUAUCAUUUUUAGAUAUCUUUGAAGCACUUGAUUAUACAAAAUCCAUUUUUCAUUAUCAUCAAUGUUUUUCGUAUCUAUGAUUCUUUUCAUUUCAUGAUCUAAAUCAUUUAGGGUGUUUGGCUGAGUGCUUUUGUUAUUAUGCAAACGUUCAAGUUCGGAUGAAUCAAUGAGUACCAUUUUUUUCGUAUGUUCCAUUAUUUAUUAAAUAAAUGACCCAACACACCCGAAAUUAUUGGAGCCAACAACAAUGGUAUGUAUGCAUAAGAAGGUUCUUCAUCAGGUAGAAUAUUUGUUCGAAUACGAAAUUCAUCUGGAGUAUCUUGUUUUAAAUCAAUCAACAAAUAACCAUGCGGUCUCAUUGUGGCAUCCUUAUAAGCUUCUUGGAUAAAUUUUAUAUUUUCAGGAAAAAUCUGUCUAGCUAAGAAAUUAAUUUGAGCUUUAUCACGAGGAUUUUUAAAAUAAACGAUAUAGUUCGCAUUCAAAGAAAUAUCUCUCUGUCCUUUUCCUUGAUGAAACAAAUUUUGCGUAAUGUAGAAGACACUAAGGUUUCGAUGAUGACUUCCCUUAGUGAAAAUAUCCACCACACUGCCAUUAGUCUCUCUCAUCAGAUCAUCCAAAAUUAUCAAUGUCGCUUCUGUACCAUCAAAAUCAUUCAUAUCAGGAACGCCUUGACGAAAUUCAAGAUUACUAUUAUUGAUUACAUUAGUUUGAUACAACGGUUGCCACUCGUCAUAAAACCAAAGCACUCGUUCAAAUUUUUUAUCACAGACCGAAUUUAUGUGGUUCAAAAAUCGUAUAAUAAAGUGCGUUUUUCCGCAAGCAGUUGGACCAGCUAUAAUUGCUGUAAACGGAGAUUUGAAUCCUUCAUUUUUCUCGAUGUUGUCGGCCAUUUCCAUCAACGAUCGCUCCAACACAGGAUCCGACCAUUCAGCUGGUGUUAUGAUGUCUUCUUC